AAAAUUGGUCCGUGGGAGUACAGCCCAAGACCCCGAGAGGGGUCGCCCUGUUUGCCUCCGGAAGUAAAACUUAAUGAUCACUUUGUAGUUGGUGUUUGAACUUGUAGAAUAUGCGAUGAGGUUCUAUUUAGGACGGAGUCUGAGUGCCUCACUUGCCAGCAUGCGGCUUGUGGGAAGAAAACCAGCCUGGGGGAGAUCAGAGCUAAGAGAUGGCAGAAAAACCGGGUCAGAACACCUGUCUUUGUGCCCCUGGACCAAACCACACGUUGAUGGAAUAUCUACGUGAUCUGGCACGUGCCUACAUCCCUGGACGCAUCCUGUGCGGCUUUCCCCUCACCCACUCGGCCCCUCCACCGGAGUCUCUCACCCCUGCUCACUCCCACCGGCAGGACUUUGACCAGCUGCUCCCUCUCCUCUGAAGCUUCUGGAACACACAAUGCAUGUGCAUCCAAGUGAUACAAGAGACCCCGCAGAGGAGAAAGAGGCCUGCAGGUGUCUGUGCUUCCCACUUUCUCACAGAGCCUUUUCCUGUGUGGUUUGUGCAACCAAGAACAUCUACUCUACUGGGUUUUCCCAAAAUUAAACAGCAGCACACUAAAUAACUUUUUUCACUUGACAAAAUAUCUUAGCUGUCAUUUCAUCUAUGUAUC